rnacentral:rRNA from 1 species
GACGAACGCUGGCGGCGUGCCUAAUACAUGCAAGUCGAACGCUUUUUCUUUCACCGGAGCUUGCUCCACCGAAAGAAAAAAGAGUGGCGAACGGGUGAGUAACACGUGGGUAACCUGCCCAUCAGAAGGGGAUAACACUUGGAAACAGGUGCUAAUACCGUAUAACACUAUUUUCCGCAUGGAAGAAAGUUGAAAGGCGCUUUUGCGUCACUGAUGGAUGGACCCGCGGUGCAUUAGCUAGUUGGUGAGGUAACGGCUCACCAAGGCAACGAUGCAUGGCCGACCUGAGAGGGUGAUCGGACACACUGGGACUGAGACACGGCCCAGACUCCUACGGGAGGCAGCAGGAGGGAAUCGUCGGCAAUGGACGAAAGUCUGACCGAGCAACGCCGCGUGAGUGAAGAAGGUUUUCGGAUCGUAAAACUCUGUUGUUAGAGAAGAACAAGGAUGAGAGUAAAACGUUCAUCCCUUGACGGUAUCUAACCAGAAAGCCACGGCUAACUACGUGCCAGCCGCCGCUGUAA